ACCGAGAAGAUUAUGUUGACCAGAACCAGGAAGAACUGGCUACACCCCUUGCAGGCCCCCAUCUGAUGUGUGCUGUGUCUCUCCUUCUAGAUUUGUCUGUCCAGUUAUCACAUUACUAAUACUUCUACAAUAUACAACCGUUAAUAUUGUAAAUUAUCUUACAGUGUAUCGUAGAAACACUUCCUAGUUCGUUGAUACAGGUGUAUGCCUGAUAAAAAAAAAAGUCAUUUGAUUUCAUGUUUAGUGGUAUAUUAUUGCUAUAGUUCACUGUAAUCCAUCUGCGUUGUAAAUGUGAAAGAUUUCACCCGAUGAUGUCAUCUUUUAUUAGCUUUUAUUAGCUAGUUUUGUUGAUUUACAGGCAAUAGUUAAUAAAAAGUAUUCAAUGGC
rnacentral:sRNA from 1 species